rnacentral:rRNA from 1 species
GAUGAACGCUGGCGGCGUGCCUAAUACAUGCAAGUCGAGCGAACGGACGAGAAGCUUGCUUCUCUGAUGUUAGCGGCGGACGGGUGAGUAACACGUGGAUAACCUACCUAUAAGACUGGGAUAACUUCGGGAAACCGGAGCUAAUACCGGAUAAUAUUUUGAACCGCAUGGUUCAAAAGUGAAAGACGGUCUUGCUGUCACUUAUAGAUGGAUCCGCGCUGCAUUAGCUAGUUGGUAAGGUAACGGCUUACCAAGGCAACGAUGCAUAGCCGACCUGAGAGGGUGAUCGGCCACACUGGAACUGAGACACGGUCCAGACUCCUACGGGAGGCAGCAGUAGGGAAUCUUCCGCAAUGGGCGAAAGCCUGACGGAGCAACGCCGCGUGAGUGAUGAAGGUCUCCGGAUUGUAAAACUCUGUUAUUAGGGAAGAACAUAUGUGUAAGUAACUGUGCACAUCUUGACGGUACCUAAUCAGAAAGCCACGGCUAACUACGUGCCAGCAGCCGCGGUAAUACGUAGGUGGCAAGCGUUAUCCGGAAUUAUUGGGCGUAAAGCGCGCGUAGGCGGUUUUUUAAGUCUGAUGUGAAAGCCCACGGCUCAACCGUGGAGGGUCAUUGGAAACUGGAAAACUUGAGUGCAGAAGAGGAAAGUGGAAUUCCAUGUGUAGCGGUGAAAUGCGCAGAGAUAUGGAGGAACACCAGUGGCGAAGGCGACUUUCUGGUCUGUAACUGACGCUGAUGUGCGAAAGCGUGGGGAUCAAACAGGAUUAGAUACCCUGGUAGUCCACGCCGUAAACGAUGAGUGCUAAGUGUUAGGGGGUUUCCGCCCCUUAGUGCUGCAGCUAACGCAUUAAGCACUCCGCCUGGGGAGUACGACCGCAAGGUUGAAACUCAAAGGAAUUGACGGGGACCCGCACAAGCGGUGGAGCAUGUGGUUUAAUUCGAAGCAACGCGAAGAACCUUACCAAAUCUUGACAUCCUUUGACAACUCUAGAGAUAGAGCUUUCCCCUUCGGGGGACAAAGUGACAGGUGGUGCAUGGUUGUCGUCAGCUCGUGUCGUGAGAUGUUGGGUUAAGUCCCGCAACGAGCGCAACCCUUAAGCUUAGUUGCCAUCAUUAAGUUGGGCACUCUAAGUUGACUGCCGGUGACAAACCGGAGGAAGGUGGGGAUGACGUCAAAUCAUCAUGCCCCUUAUGAUUUGGGCUACACACGUGCUACAAUGGACAAUACAAAGGGCAGCGAAACCGUGAGGUCAAGCAAAUCCCAUAAAGUUGUUCUCAGUUCGGAUUGUAGUCUGCAACUCGACUACAUGAAGCUGGAAUCGCUAGUAAUCGUAGAUCAGCAUGCUACGGUGAAUACGUUCCCGGGUCU